UCUUGACUAGUAUAUCGGUUAGUACACGCGCUUGUCAUGCAAUAUGAGGCAAGUUUCGCGCGAAAGCUGGGUUCGACUCCCAGGUCGAGAG